rnacentral:rRNA from 1 species
AUUCUAGAGCUAAUACAUGCUGCAAAGCCCAACUUCACGGAAGGGCCGUAUUUAUUAGAUAACAGACCAAUAUUCCUCGUGUCUAUUGUGGUGAAUCAUAGUAACUAAUCGGAUCGCAUGGGCUUCGCCCGCGACAAACCAUUCAAGUUUCUGCCCCAUCAGCUUUCGAUGGUAGUGUAUUGGACUACCAUGGCUUUUACGGGUAACGGAGGAUUAGGGUUCGAUUCCGGAGAGGGAGCCUGAGAAACGGCUACCACAUCUAAGGAAGGCAGCAGGCGCGUAAAUUACCCAAUUCUGAUUCAGAGAGGUAGUG